rnacentral:rRNA from 2 species
UACGGAGGGUGCAAGCGUUAUCCGGAAUCAUUGGGUUUAAAGGGUCCGUAGGCGGACGAUUAAGUCAGAGGUGAAAGUCUGCAGCUCAACUGUAGAAUUGCCUUUGAUACUGGUUGUCUUGAAUUAUUGUGAAGUGGUUAGAAUAAGUAGUGUAGCGGUGAAAUGCAUAGAUAUUACUUAGAAUACCAAUUGCGAAGGCAGAUCACUAACAAUAUAUUGACGCUGAGGGACGAAAGCGUGGGGAGCGAACAGG